rnacentral:lncRNA from 1 species
UAUGUUUCCAAACAUCAAAAAUGAAAUGCAAGAAGAAAGGGUUCAAAACUCAAAACACCAACACAUCACUUAAGCUCCUUUCAACCCAAAACUCACAUAGGACUCCAUUUUUAUCAUUCAAUCCAAGAAAACUUAAAUAAAAUAGAAAAUACUACAGCAAAUGGAGAGGAAAACGGAAAUACAACUUCAUUCAAACCAAAGACCCACCAUGAAAAUGCAAGAGAAACCCUUCAAGCUCAUGCUUCCAACUUCAAAGAACAAGAAAUAGAAUGGGGAAUGGGACGGUUUUGCAUCACCAACAAGCAAAGAUAAUCAAGAUUGAGGCAAGAGAAGAAGAAAAACAUUGUCUUGUUCAUUCCAUAGCUCAAAGAAAAUGAAACCCUACAAGCUUCCAAGGAGGAAGUUCAUGAGACCAUGCAAAGUGUGAGAAUGUAAGAGCCUAGGAGAGUGUGGUCGGCUAUUCCUCUCCAAAUACCNUCCAAGCCUCUAAAAUUGGUGGGGUCCACCUCUAAGAAACCCUAGGGUUUGGUGCCACAUGUCCCACACAUGGGUUUUUUACAAAAAUGCCCCUAAAAG